rnacentral:sRNA from 1 species
UGACCUGAUUGCAAUCCCCACCGAAGGGCCACUUGAGCUGGUGUCUUCCCCAGUUUCUCUGCAGUCUCUACGACAACAGGAUUCUUAAGAAUGUCACUAUUCAGAUUCCCUGGUGAGCCUAGUGGAGAGUAUCCCUGAAAAUAAAUUUGUCAUAUAUACAAACAGUUAGAAUGCAAAUAUCAGAAGAAUAAAGAAUGGUUGUUGAGUAUAAACCAGAUUCAUUUUCAACUAGCCCUGUAGACAAUUUCACCAAAAGUGAUAAUUUUCUUUUCAAGUGAUAGUUUAUAGGAAUAAUAUGCUUUUAUUUAGGUGAAAAUACCAAGAAAUAUGUAUCAAACAUUCCAUACUUAC